CUCAGACGGACUGAUAGGCUGCUAUUUUCUGCAUUCUGCAAAGAAGAACAUGCUUGCUCUUUUCUGCAAAGAAGAACUUGCUUUAUUAAAACUGCAUGGGGAAACUGCUGUUAUCAACCAGAUGAGAUUUCUGAAAUUAAGGGACAAUUGAAAGAGAUGGUUGAAGAAUUUAUAAAGUAUGAAUUUGAUUAAUGCGGAUCUCUGAGUGUUCAUUUUCCAGAUGACACCAGUCAGCUUUUGGGGCAUCUGCCUCGACAUGAACAACAGCAACUAGACUGUGCAACAAGUGAGAGCAAGAAACAUAAGGACACGGCUGCAGAGAAAAGAAGAGGCAUUUGGUUGGUGGGCCUUCAUCCUCCCUCAAAAUAUGAAGUUGAAACUUCUGAGGAGCUGGGAUAGACAAAGACUGUGUUGAUGGAGAAACAACCAAGAAAAAACAUCCUGCCAUUCUUCAAAUGUGCCUCCUCCGUUGCUUGGCCAAAAGCCAGGCUGAGCAGAGGCAGAGAGACUAUAGCAUCCAGUCCAACCACUGCGUCAGAACAUGACGCCAGACCCUUGAACGAGGACUGACAGAUCAAAUGCAUUGGAUGAGGAGAGAAACAUGACAGCAGCCCAACCAGUUCAACUGAUCCAAGCAGAAGGACUUCAUCCUUUCUUAAGCAGGCACAGACAUCAGUCCAGCUGUAAGCAUUUAAUAAUGCUAAUAAUAUAAUUAAAAGAAAAGAAGUCAAGUGCUUGCAUGACUAAAUAAUUAAUUAAAGCCGAGACUGGACUUAGCAGAGUGAGAGAAUAUUGGAUUAAUAAUAACAAAAACAAGAGUAAAUGCAUAAUUAGAUUAUUUAAGAUUUUGUUCAUUAAACAGCGAAUGCUUGGGCUCUGCUUUCAAGGUAGCUGGUAUAAGCUUGAGUGAUUGUAAGUUCUGUAUUAAAAAAGGGGGGACAAAAUGUGUCAAACAACAAAAAAGUGGAUGAUAGAGCUAUGAUGCUGGUCACUCUAUCUUGGUCAAUAGUCAUUUUUUGAGAAGUAAAAUAGUUACUACACAAAUUAUAAGCACGUGAUAUCACAAAUUUUGAUAUUACCGGGGAUUGUACGAUGUUGAUAUUGUGGGUCAUGAAUUUGAGAUUAUGAUGAGAUCUAAAGUAAUUUAAAAGAUUAUGAGGAGAAAUUAAAUGAACAGAUGAAUGACAAAUUAGAUUAGAUAAACUGAUAAUCAGUCUUUUAAACAGUUGACCUACCAGAUAAUUUGUUAUAUUAUGUAUUAAAAAAGUGAGGUUUAUGACAGAGGUGUUUAACACAAUCAAAUGGCAACUGAUGUCGGCCAGCUGUGUUGUUCACAGACGUGGACAUUGUCACAUGGGGAAUGCUACACCACAAUAUUCAGUAGCUUUUGUCAUCAGAGUUGUAUUAACAAUUUUGUAUUAGUGAUAUUCGUACCUUGAAAUUUAGGAUAGAUAAUUGAAUAUAAAAUUAAGUCUAUAUCAGAUAAGUCCAGAAGGCAGCAACACCCUCAACUUUAUAUUGGACAAAUGAGGUAUUAAAGGAAUUAAAAUAAUUACACUGGCAAACCUUUUUAAUUUAAGAUGUGCGUGGUUUUUUGACCAUCGCACAAAGGGGGGAAGUGAGUAAAAAUAUAAAAAGAGAAAAAAAGAAAGAAAUUUGAUGAUAGAUGAUUUUAAUAGAAGAUUGAUGAUAGCCAAAUGCAAUAUUUCUAAACAACGUCAGAAUUUGUAUUAAAAUAGAUUUGAUUGCCAUGGAAGGACUUAUGAUAGCUCCAUUACCACUACUAAACAUCCUGAUUCUUGAUGCGCACAGACAGUUUUGAUCACUGUGCAAGGGGGGAAAUGUUGAGAAAGAUAAAAAGACAGGGAUUUUGGUCCCCAUACUUACAGACAAGGGUAGAUGAAUUUUUUAAAUGAAUGUGAAAUAAUGUCAGAAAAGGAACAGCAACCCCAAUAGGCUCUAUUCCAGAAGGAUCUUUCAACCAUCUAGUGAUGGAUUGUUACAGCCAAGAUGGAAACCAUAUGCUAGAGACGAGGCAGCAGCAGGACUUGAAUUAAUAUUUCUAUAGAUAAAGCCAAAUAAGAAUAUGGAAUGGAUUAAUUACAUAUAUUACAACCAGCAGAGAUUUAUUAAUUACAUGGAUGAAGCACUCGAAGCUCUAGGAGAACAACUAAAAGACACAAGCAAAAUGACCUGGCAGAACAGACAAGCUCUGAAUUGGCUCCUGGCAGAAAACGGAGGUGUGUGCGUAAUGUUUGAAACUGACUGUUGUACCUUUAUUCCUAAGCGGGCACAGCCCCGGAUGGAUCAUUUACUAGGGACAUGAAGAAGAUAAAAGAAUUAAGACCGGAAGUUGCUACCAAUGCGGGGAGAGACAGGAGCUUUGGGUAUUGGCUUGACUCAAUAUUUGCAUCCUGGAAAGACUGGCUCAUUCAGGUGGGAAAAAUAUUAGCAGUAUCAGUUGGUGUUUUCUUUCUGUUGUUUUGUUGUGUUGUGCCUUUCCUCAGAUCAAUGCUGGCCAGUACAGCUGCCAAACAAAUGAUCAAUGUAUCAGUGAGACCAUCAGGAGUUGAUAUUGGAUGUGUCAACGCAGAGAUUCACCCAAGUGCCCCAGACCUGGAUGAGCUGGACGAGUUUCUGUAAAGUAACCAGUUAAAGAUCAUAUGGAAAGACGGUACCUUAUUACUUUUUGAUUUAUACUUUUGACUCUGUUUUUGAUUAGAGAGGGAGUUAGCUCCACUGUGUAUUUGAUUUGGGAUAAAAAAAUUAGGUAGAAUGAUUAGUGCAUGGGUAGUGUAGGCAGGUAGUCAGAGGGUUUUUCUACGUUCCUUUUUACAUAAGGACUGUCUUUCCAGUAAUAUUUACACUUAUAUAAUCUGUUUCUAUAUACUAUGCUUGUGUUAUUCACAAAGAAUAUUUUAUUAUAAUCAUAUUAAAUGUCACAAUUUUAAAUGUAAGGGAUGAUAGAAGGUCUAGAACAGGACAUCAUCUGUGAGGUCAAAAGAUGCAAAUAGAGAAAGGUAAAGUCAAGAAGGUUUGCUAAUAAUCACUUUAAUCAACAUUUAUACUAUUUUUUGAAAUGUGAUUUUAUGUAAUGUGUGUACGGGAAACUGGCCUGAGUAUUUUCUCUAAGAGGGACGGGUGAUGCCAUAGAUAGAGGAACUAUCCACGAAGCGCGGUCACCGAUUGUCAAAAAGGCAAGGGCAGACUCAACUGGUGGUUUAAAAACCCGCUGUCUGCUCCAACACCAGAUAGUGUUUUGGGGACAGAGCACCUCUGGCAACGAUGGAGCAACCCAGAUAGCACUCCAGGCCACCGGAAGCGCCUGUGCAGUUCCUCUGGCACCGCUGGACAAGAUAUAAGGAUUUCUGUAUGAAGAAUUAGAUGAAAAGUGGUUAAUUAAGCAUGUCCCUUAAUUGUCUGAAUAAUUAGGAGGGUGGGAUCUUUUACUCCACUCCAGCCAAUAGGGGUGGAGAUGUUUGGUCCCACCUAUCCUCCAGAGUGCAACUGGAUGAUGCAGAUCAGCUUGGUAAGAAGUGGAUGGUCUUUGUUGAUCAUAUAAUAUGAGGAAAGAAGGAUCGGCUCAUGCAGAUGCAUCCUGGGUAUACAGUGAGUGUGGGACUAAGGAUAGUCCCAAAGGGGGGAUGUGUUGGAGAAAUCCACUUGUCUUAAGUCACUUCAAAAAGAGAAAUACAGAUGGUUGAUUAUUCAUGUCAUGGUAAACUGCUCCUCUUUUAAACUGCUCCUCUGCAGAGCAACAAGGUAUGGAAGGCCGUAUCUAUAGAAAUGGUCAUGUAAUUAGCAAAAAUAGUAAAAACAGGUGUUCAGAGUCACACGACUGCGCCUAGGUAUCAUCAAUUGAGUUUGACAGUUAGUUUUAUGACCUAUUGACCGCCUAGAUAAGAUUAAAGGGCAUCAAAUGGGUUUGACAGUUAGUUUUAUGACCUAUUAACCCCCUAGAUAAGUUUAAAGGGAUCAAAUUGGAUUUGACAGUUAGUUUUUUAACCUAUUGACCUCCUAGCCUUGAUAAUAAAAAGUGUACAGUACUUUAUUUUUAAAAAACAUAUGAGCACGUGUUUCGCCACGGUUAAAGCAGGAAUAAGGCUGAGUAAGCAAUAAUGGGUGCGAAAUGAAGAGGAGGAGCAGGAGAAAAGAGAUAAGGGCAGAAACACUAAUUGGGCAGCCACGAUAAGAAAAGGGUAUAAUAUGCUGGGAUGAAACCAACUUAACUUCAGAUGCUUGGCCACAUCUCACUUUGUUGUCCUGCUCAAUAAAGUUAUUCUUCUGAGACCUGAAA